GGGGAUAGCCUUUCGAAAGGAAGAUUAAUACCCCAUAAUAUAUUGAAUGGCAUCAUUUAAUAUUGAAAACUCCGGUGGAUAGAGAUGGGCACGCGCAAGAUUAGAUAGUUGGUAGGGUAACGGCCUACCAAGUCAGUGAUCUUUAGGGGGCCUGAGAGGGUGAUCCCCCACACUGGUACUGAGACACGGACCAGACUCCUACGGGAGGCAGCAGUGAGGAAUAUUGGACAAUGGGUGAGAGCCUGAUCCAGCCAUCCCGCGUGAAGGACGACGGCCCUAUGGGUUGUAAACUUCUUUUGUAUAGGGAUAAACCUACUCUCGUGAGAGUAGCUGAAGGUACUAUACGAAUAAGCACCGGCUAACUCCGUGCCAGCAGCCGCGGUAAUACGGAGGGUGCAAGCGUUAUCCGGAUUUAUUGGGUUUAAAGGGUCCGUAGGCGGAUCUGUAAGUCAGUGGUGAAAUCUCAUAGCUUAACUAUGAAACUGCCAUUGAUACUGCAGGUCUUGAGUAAAGUAGAAGUGGCUGGAAUAAGUAGUGUAGCGGUGAAAUGCAUAGAUAUUACUUAGAACACCAAUUGCGAAGGCAGGUCACUAUGUUUUAACUGACGCUGAUGGACGAAAGCGUGGGGAGCGAACAGGAUUAGAUACCCUGGUAGUCCACGCCGUAAACGAUGCUAACUCGUUUUUGGGUUUUCGGAUUCAGAGACUAAGCGAAAGUGAUAAGUUAGCCACCUGGGGAGUACGUUCGCAAGAAUGAAACUCAAAGGAAUUGACGGGGGCCCGCACAAGCGGUGGAUUAUGUGGUUUAAUUCGAUGAUACGCGAGGAACCUUACCAAGGCUUAAAUGGGAAUUGACAGGUUUAGAAAUAGACUUUUCUUCGGACAAUUUUCAAGGUGCUGCAUGGUUGUCGUCAGCUCGUGCCGUGAGGUGUUAGGUUAAGUCCUGCAACGAGCGCAACCCCUGUCACUAGUUGCCAUCAUUCAGUUGGGGACUCUAGUGAGACUGCCUACGCAAGUAGAGAGGAAGGUGGGGAUGACGUCAAAUCAUCACGGCCCUUACGCCUUGGGCCACACACGUAAUACAAUGGCCAGUACAGAGGGCAGCUACCAGGCGACUGGAUGCGAAUCUCGAAAGCUGGUCUCAGUUCGGAUUGGAGUCUGCAACUCGACUCUAUGAAGCUGGAAUCGCUAGUAAUCGCAUAUCAGCCAUGAUGCGGUGAAUACGUUCCCGGGCCUUGUACACACCGCC
rnacentral:rRNA from 1 species